UUGAUAUCCGCAUAGCUGGUGGGGUGGUCGGCUGCUUCGGUUGGCAGCUCAAAAUGUGUUCAGAACAUUGAUAUAAGUCACCCAAUCUUUGGUACAGAAAGCUGCCUUUUACUCAACCGCGAUCCAGCCUUCCUUCAAUUCCGAUCAACGGUACAUGAGGACUAUCCUUGAUUCAUGAAGGAAUCCAACCUUUUACUCAACCGUAAUCCAGCCUUCCUUCAAUUCCGAUCAACGAUGCAUGAGGACAAUCCUUGAUUAAUGAAGGAAGCGGUAGUGAUUUCAACCCAGGCGUUUCGGCUGUGUUCUAUUCUGACCUAAAACACUCCUGUAAAGAUUUUGGUCUCUCAAGGCUCAUACCGAAUAAUGUCACUCAUUCGUCAAUAGCCCCUCAGGGAUUUUGUUAGAAGAUUGCCAUUCCUUGGAUCCCGAAAGAAAGUUAGCAACAAUGUGAGAAGAGAAUGUGCAUGAUGGUAAAAAGAUAAACAUAGAUGAAGAAGAUACAAUAUUGAUGAUGAUGAUGAUAAUGGCUGAAGAUGAACGAUGGCGGCAACAAUGGCUGAAUUAGGGUUCCGCUCAGAAUCUUUGAUAUUUCGGCCGGAAGCUAGGGUUCUAUGUUAGGUUCCAGCGACACAGGUAAGAUAAAUGGUCUUCGGGGUGGCUUUUCCGGUUGUAUUUUACCAUAUUAAUGAUUGCAUAUAAGGUAUUCAUAUGCAAAACGACUUAGGGUAUGUUGCAGAUUACUUAAUGUCUUCGCGUUACCGU